rnacentral:rRNA from 1 species
GUCCACGCCUAAACGAUGUCAACUGGUUGUUGGGUCUUCACUGACUCAGUAACGAAGCUAACGCGUGAAGUUGACCGCCUGGGGAGUACGGCCGCAAGGUUGAAACUCAAAGGAAUUGACGGGGACCCGGCCACAAGCGGUGGAUGAUGUGGUUUAAUUUCGAUGCAACGCGAAAACCUUAACCCACCUUUGUACAUGUACGGAAGAUUUAAGAGAUUAGAUUGUGCUCGAAAGAGAGCCGUAACACAGGUGCUGCAUGGCUGUCGU